GUGGGGAAUAUUGCACAAUGGGCGAAAGCCUGAUGCAGCAACGCCGCGUGAGGGACGACGGCCUUCGGGUUGUAAACCUCUUUUAGUAGGGAAGAAGCGAAAGUGACGGUACCUGCAGAAAAAGCACCGGCUAACUACGUGCCAGCAGCCGCGGUAAUACGUAGGGUGCAAGCGUUAUCCGGAAUUAUUGGGCGUAAAGAGCUCGUAGUCGGUCUGUCGCGUCUGCUGUGAAAACUGGAGGCUCAACCUCCAGCCUGCAGUGGGUACGGGCAGACUAGAGUGCGGUAGGGGAGAUUGGAAUUCCUGGUGUAGCGGUGGAAUGCGCAGAUAUCAGGAGGAACACCGAUGGCGAAGGCAGAUCUCUGGGCCGUAACUGACGCUGAGGAGCGAAAGCGUGGGGAGCGAACAGGAUUAGAAACCCGGGUAGUCC
rnacentral:rRNA from 1 species